AUGCACGCUGGCGGCGUGCCUAAUACAUGCAAGUCGAGCGAACAGAUCAGGAGCUUGCUCCUUUGACGUUAGCGGCGGACGGGUGAGUAACACGUGGGUAACCUACCUAUAAGACUGGGAUAACUUCGGGAAACCGGAGCUAAUACCGGAUAAUAUUUCGAACCGCAUGGUUCGAUAGUGAAAGAUGGUUUUGCUAUCACUUAUAGAUGGACCCGCGCCGUAUUAGCUAGUUGGUAAGGUAACGGCUUACCAAGGCGACGAUACGUAGCCGACCUGAGAGGGUGAUCGGCCACACUGGAACUGAGACACGGUCCAGACUCCUACGGGAGGCAGCAGUAGGGAAUCUUCCGCAAUGGGCGAAAGCCUGACGGAGCAACGCCGCGUGAGUGAUGAAGGUCUUCGGAUCGUAAAACUCUGUUAUUAGGGAAGAACAUACGUGUAAGUAACUGUGCACGUCUUGACGGUACCUAAUCAGAAAGCCACGGCUAACUACGUG
rnacentral:rRNA from 1 species